rnacentral:rRNA from 1 species
ACGCUCGACACCUACGGGAAGCAGCAGUGGGGAAUAUUGCACAAUGGGGGAAACCCUGAUGCAGCGACGCCGCGUGAGUGAAGAAGUAAUUCGUUAUGUAAAGCUCUAUCAGCAGGGAAGAAAGUGACGGUACCUGAGUAGGAAGCCCCGGCUAACUACGUGCCAGCAGCUGCGGUAAUCUGAGCGGGCUGGCAAGGC